rnacentral:rRNA from 1 species
AUUGAACGCUGGCGGCAUGCUUUACACAUGCAAGUCGAACGGCAGCACGGGCUUCGGCCUGGUGGCGAGUGGCGAACGGGUGAGUAAUAUAUCGGAACGUACCCAGAAGUGGGGGAUAACGUAGCGAAAGUUACGCUAAUACCGCAUACGAUCUAUGGAUGAAAGCAGGGGACCGCAAGGCCUUGUGCUCCUGGAGCGGCCGAUAUCUGAUUAGCUAGUUGGUGGGGUAAAGGCUCACCAAGGCGACGAUCAGUAGCUGGUCUGAGAGGACGACCAGCCACACUGGAACUGAGACACGGUCCAGACUCCUACGGGAGGCAGCAGUGGGGAAUUUUGGACAAUGGGCGCAAGCCUGAUCCAGCAAUGCCGCGUGAGUGAAGAAGGCCUUCGGGUUGUAAAGCUCUUUUGUCAGGGAAGAAACGGUAGAGGCUAAUAUCCUUUGCUAAUGACGGUACCUGAAGAAUAAGCACCGGCUAACUACGUG